GGGGAUGUGGCUCAAGUGGUAGUGCACUCGCCUAGCAUGCGUGAGGCACUGAGUUUGAUUCUCAGCACCACA
rnacentral:tRNA from 1 species